rnacentral:Y_RNA from 1 species
GGCUGGUCCGAAGGUAGUGAGUUAUCUCACUUGAUUGUUCACAGUCAGUUACAGAUUGAACUCCCUCCUCACUAUUGCACUUGACCAGUCUUAA